CCUACGGGCGGCAGCAGUGGGGAAUAUUGCACAAUGGGGGAAACCCUGAUGCAGCAACGCCGCGUGAGUGAAGAAGUAUUUCGGUAUGUAAAGCUCUAUCAGCAGGGAAGAAAAUGACGGUACCUGAGUAAGAAGCCCCGGCUAACUACGUGCCAGCAGCCGCGGUAAUACGGAGGGGGCAAGCGUUAUCCGGAUUUACUGGGUGUAAAGGGAGCGUAGAUGGCGAUACAAGUCUGUAGUGAAAGCCCGGGGCUCAACCCGAGGACUGCUUUGGAAACUGUGUUGCUGGAGUACUGGAGAGGAAGGCGGAAUUCGUAGUGUAGCGGUGAAAUGCGUAGACAUUAGGAAGAACACCGAUGGCGAAGGCGGCUUGCUAAACAGUCACUGACAUUGAUGCUCGAAAGUGUGGGGAGCAAACAGGAUUAGAUACCCGAGUAGUC
rnacentral:rRNA from 1 species